UGGCGAACGGGUGAGUAACACGUGGGUGAUCUGCCUCGUACUCUGGGAUAAGCCUGGGAAACUGGGUCUAAUACCGGAUAGGACCACUGGUCGCAUGGCUGGUGGUAGGAAAGUUUUUCGGUACGAGAUGGGCCCGCUGGCCUAUCAGCUUGUUGCGUGGGGUAAUGGCCUACCAAGGCGACGACGGGUAGCCGGCCUGAGAGGGCGACCGGCCACACUGGGACUGAGACACGGCCCAGACUCCUACGGGAGGCAGCAGUGGGGAAUAUUGCACAAUGGGCGCAAGCCUGAUGCAGCGACGCCGCGUGAGGGAUGACGGCCUUCGGGUUGUAAACCUCUUUCACCAGGGGCGAAUGUAGACGGUACCUGGAGAAGAAGCACCGGCCAACUACGUGCCAGCAGCCGCGGUAAUACGUAGGGUGCGAGCGUUGUCCGGAAUUACUGGGCGUAAAGAGCUCGUAGGCGGUUUGUCGCGUCGUUCGUGAAAACCCGAUGCUUAACAUCGGGCGUGCGGGCGAUACGGGCAGACUUGAGUACUACAGGGGAGACUGGAAUUCCUGGUGUAGCGGUGAAAUGCGCAGAUAUCAGGAGGAACACCGGUGGCGAAGGCGGGUCUCUGGGUAGUAACUGACGCUGAGGAGCGAAAGCGUGGGUAGCGAACAGGAUUAGAUAACCUGGUAGUCCACGCCCGUAAACGGUGGGUACUAGGUGUGGGUUCCUUUCAGCGGGAUCCGUGCCGUA
rnacentral:rRNA from 1 species